GUGGGGAAUAUUGGGCAAUGGGCGGAAGCCUGACCCAGCAACGCCGCGUGAAGGAAGAAGGCUUUCGGGUUGUAAACUUCUUUUGUCAGGGACGAAGCAAGUGACGGUACCUGACGAAUAAGCCACGGCUAACUACGUGCCAGCAGCCGCGGUAAUACGUAGGUGGCAAGCGUUAUCCGGAUUUACUGGGUGUAAAGGGCGUGUAGGCGGGACUGCAAGUCAGAUGUGAAAACUCAGGGCUCAACCCUGAGCCUGCAUUUGAAACUGUAGUUCUUGAGUACUGGAGAGGCAGACGGAAUUCCUAGUGUAGCGGUGAAAUGCGUAGAUAUUAGGAGGAACACCAGUGGCGAAGGCGGUCUGCUGGACAGCAACUGACGCUGAGGCGCGAAAGCGUGGGGAGCAAACAGG
rnacentral:rRNA from 1 species